GAUGAGUAAGAGGGCGUGAACACUGUGCAGAAGAUGUUGGCGUGAGCCUCAUUGGAACAGUGUUUAGUGCAGAUCUUGGUGGUAGUAGCAAAUAUUCAAAUGAGAACUUUGAAGACCGAAGUGGAGAAGGGUUCCGUGUGAACAGCAUUUGAUCACGGGUUAUUCGAUCCUGAGGCAUAGGGAAGCUCCUUGAAAUACAAGAGCUCUUCGCUCGUUGCCAAAAGGGAAAGCGGUUAAUAUUCCGCUAACUGGACGUGGAUAAUGUGUGGUAACACAAGUGAGCUCGGAGACGUCAGCUCAAACUCCUGGAAGAGUUAUCUUUUCUUUUUAACAGUCUAUCGCCCUGGAAUUGGAUUAUCCAGAGCUAGGGCUUCAUGGCUGGCAGAGCAGUACACUCUAAGUACUGUCAGGUGCGUUUGAGAUGACCCUUGAAAAUCCGAGUAAGAGAUUUAUUCGCACGCCAGGUCGUACCAAUAACCGCAUCAGGUCUCCAAGGUUA
rnacentral:rRNA from 1 species